GCUAAUAUGGGGACAAAAAGUUUUAUAAUGGGAAUUACUUUGAGUUUAUUAAAAUUACACAAUUAGCCGCAACAAAGAAACAGACAGAAAGACGAACCUAAAAGUACCAGAUGGUCCGACUUCAAUAUUAUAUUUACUUUUCUGUCAGUACAACAAAACCUACGUGUAAUGCGUAUUAUUAUUAAUGUUGUGAGUAGGUGGCGCUGUAACAAAUGUCGUUAAAGAAUCGAGAAGACAAGCGUUUCGUCACAGAGUACGGAUGGAUACUUACGUAUUAAGUUUCGUCGUAUUUUUGAGCCGUCAUAACUGCGGCCCUGAUUAUGGAUACCAAGAUAAGAUGUUCUUUAUAGACUUAUUAAACAUAAAGCAGCAAAAAUACUAUUCCUAUACGUGCGUGAUAAUAUUAUUUUCCUAGCCUAAAUUAUGUUAUCACUUGUCCCGAUCUCUUAAUAAUAUUCAUGCUUUUGAAUUUUUAACUAUUCACUUGCUAAGGGAUGCUCGUAAUGUGUGAUCAGGACGAAUAUAUGAUUUGUGUAUAGUUUAUUCAGCGACUACACUAGUACACGGUACAGAGUUCGUUACACAGAGUACUUUUAGUUACUUAUAUUUUUGGUAACAUGUCUGCUCGUCGUACAAAAUAUUACAUCCCUAUAAUUAGAAAGAGUAUGUAAUAGUCCAAGUAUGGUAACACAACGAAUAGUUACAAUAGUGUUGCUACAAAUUAAAUCUAUGCAGUAGUUUUUGCGUUUUGCUCAUACAUUGGUACCGGUACAUACAGAGUGCAGACCAAUAUGGUAUAAAAUACAUCUUUUUGUCUUCGGUAUAAAGUUUUUCUUUAAAAAAUAUUCAAUAAUAUGAUGUAGAAUAAACAAUUUUAAAAUA